CAGUAGCCGCGGUAAUACGUAGGUGGCAAGCGUUGUCCGGAAUUAUUGGGCGUAAAGGGCUCGCAGGCGGUUUCUUAAGUCUGAUGUGAAAGCCCCCGGCUCAACCGGGGAGGGUCAUUGGAAACUGGGAAACUUGAGUGCAGAAGAGGAGAGUGGAAUUCCACGUGUAGCGGUGAAAUGCGUAGAGAUGUGGAGGAACGCCAGUGGCGAAGGCGACUCUCUGGUCUGUAACUGACGCUGAGGAGCGAAAGCGUGGGGAGCGAACAGGAUUAGAUACCCGCGUAGUCCCUGUCUCUUAUAC
rnacentral:rRNA from 1 species